CUCUGGUCCUGUUACUCCCGGCCGGGUGGCCUUCUCACUACACCCUGGACCAGCAAGGUAUCUCAGACAAUAAGUCUGUGCAUGCAUCCGCAGAACUCUAAGGCACAACACAGGGGAAGCUGGAAAGAAGUGAGGUGAGGUGAGGCGAUAUGGCCUUGGCUGGGGCCCCUGCCCUCAAAGAGCAAUCCAGGGCUCUGGCUGGCAGGCGCGGGAAAGGACCUGAAGCAGUGAAGUGAGGCCUGUUCUGGCCGCCUCUCUGGGUUAGGGGUUAAAGAUCCAUGUUUCGGCCUCUUCCUUCUAGCCCCCGAUGGUUGAUGUAAGUCAUGAAACCAGGCAGUAAUAUUCAGCACUUGCCAACCCAGAUCCUUUUCCAAGUUUGUGUUGGCAUGCAAGGUAGAAAGUCAUUCCUUUAUUUCCUCCCCUUCUCCACCAAAAAUAAAUAAAAGAACCUCCAUGCCGCAGGGCUCCUGCAGACGCCUGGCAGGUUUGCUGACCCUGAACUCGGAGCUUUUACCACGAGAACGCCAGCCCCCCAGAGUGGUAUGAAGAUGAUUAUUCUAUGAAUGGAAAAUUCCGCUCGGUUCACACAGCCCUGCAGCCUGCAUCCUUUCAAGACAUGCAGACUUUUCAAGCUCUGAAGAUGGGGAGCCACAGUUCUGAGAAUAACUUUGGCAGGAAAAGUUUAAAAUUGCCAGCUGCUGUGUCUGAUCCCCCUUGGUCAGGCCAGAGAGGCGAUGGCACAGAAGCGGAAGCCUUCUUGCCUCCCAACAUGGUUUUCGGCCCUUGUGGUUGUACGGGGAGAAUAAAAACUUUUAAGGGAUAAGAAUAGGAACAAACACCUUGGCUGGGACCUGCAGCCUGGGUAUGUGGGAAGUGGAGCUGGGAUGGAGAUGCCCCAGAAGGAGGUGGAGAAAUGAGUGUGUCUUGGGGUCCGCCAUGGGCUGUUUCCCCAGGCUGCUCCCCUUGACUGCUAUACGAGGAGUCUGGAAUGAAACAGAUGGAAACAGCCAGUCUGUGAACGUUUCUUCAGGUAUCCGGCAGAGGAAAAGCACGCCACAUGUCCCCUGACGACCUGAAGAUGAAUCCUGACUGCCUGGACAUGCCUGGGCGGGUGUACCCAUGGCCUGUGGUUGAACCAGCCACACCUUGUCUCUUGGCCAGAGGGCACGCAGUGGCAUGGAACCACGCUGACACCUAUCACUGUUAAACGAGGCCAGGACACAGUCUGAUCUCCAUCUCCACUUUUUGUUGUUGUUAAAUGAAACGGAAGAGCAUCUCCCUGCAGAAGUAAACCACGCACAGAGCCCUAAUGACAUCAUUGCUUCAGCCCCUGGAUCCAGCCAGGCCUGAAGCAGGAUAACCCUGGACUUCCCAGUGAGGUGAGCCAUGCAUGUAAGGAAAACGACUCCAAAGUGCUGACUUCAGUCCCUGGGACUCCCUCGCUGCAGGAUGAAGCUGGAGGAGGCUGCAGAGGAGGCAGCCUGACGUCAAGCACACAGCUCACCUCGGAGCUCUGCCUGUCCAGAUGGCCUGAUCCUCAUGUCCCCACCUGGCCUGCUGACUCCCUCCUGGCUGAAGGGUGGAAAUGAAUCCUUGUACGGAAUAAGCCUCUCCGGCCCGACCUGGGAAUGAGUAACAGCUUAGCUGGUGACCUUUGCCCUGGGACGACAGCUCUGGACAGCUGCAGGAGGCUUCGUUGGGAUGGGGGUGGCCCAUUGUGGGGUGCCUGGCAGGAGUCUCUGAGCCAUGUCUUUAGAAGGUACGAGUGCAGGACACAGUUCUUUUGUGGUCUGAGAUCUGUGCUUAGGCAGAGAACUGUGUCCAGAGAGUCAGGCUGUAAAGUGGGGAGCCUCCCGUGAGGGCUGCAGCAUUCCCGUGCAGAUCCCUAAUUUCCAAUCUGGACUCUAGAAGACUUUGGUUCUCUUCCUGGCUCUGGCCUCUGCUGGGACCCUGGAGGUGUCUCCUUUCUCCUUCAAGUUUUUCAUCAGCAAUGCCAGGAUUUGGUAAUGACAUGAGUCCCUCCUGGCUCAGAUAGCCCAGCAUCACUGUCACCCUGGGAUCCCUUUGCUGACAUCCCAGUCCCAGACCAGUAACUGCAGCUCAGAGUACCUGAGGCUCCCCAGCUGUUUCCACGGCUUCCCUGUGCCUCAACCCUUAUGACCUUGUUAUUCCCCAGAAAUUCUGCAGCAUGGCAGGCUGGGCUCCCCGCUCCCUGGGGGAGCCUUGUGCUGUGUCACUUCCUCAGACCCCUGCCUGAGCCUGUCCCCUUGUGGGGGACCAGAGUGUAUACCUCACCUGAGCUAGCUUUCUGUUGCUGCUAUACAUAUUACCACAAACUUAGUGGCUUAGAACCCCACACUGUAUUAUCUUACAGUUCUGGAGGGUCAGAAGUUUGACACAAGUCUCACUGGCCUAAAACCAAGGUGCUGGCAGGUCUGACUCCUUCUGAAGGCUCUAGGGGUAUAUUAGUCUAUUCUCAUGCUGCUUAUAAAGACAUACCCGAGACUGGGUAAUUUAUAAAGAAAAAGAGGUUUAAUGGACUCGCAGUUCCAUAUGGCUGGGGAGGCCUCACAAUUAUGGUGGAAGGCAAAGGAAGAGCAAAGGGAUGUCUUACAUGGCAACAGGCAAGAGAACUUGUACAGGGGAACUCCCAUUUAUAAAACCAUCAGAUCUUGUGAGACUUAUUCACUACCAUGAGAACAGCAUGGGAAAGGCCCACCCCCAUGAUUCAAUUACCUCCCACUGGGUCCUUCCCACGACAUGCGGGGAUUAUGGGAGCUACAAUUCAAGAUGAGAUUUGGAUGGGGACAUAGCCAGUCCAUAUCAAGGGGAGAACCCACUUCCUUGCCUUUUCCAACUUCUAGAGGCUGCCUGCAUUCCUUGGCUCAUGGCCCUUUCCUCCAUCUUCAAAGCCAGCUUUGGGGCUCUGUCACCCUUCUUGUAUUGCAUUUCUAACCCACUCUGCCACCUCCUCCACUUCUAAGGACUCAUGGGUUAGGUUGGGCCCAUCUGGAUAAUGCCACAUAAUCUCCUCAUUUCAAAGCCUUAACUUUCUUCACAUCUGCAAGUCCUGUGAUCAUGUAAGGACACCUUUUCAUGGGUUCUAGGGAUUAGGCUGGGGAUAGUUUUGCCGGGAGCAUUCUUCUGCCUACCACCCCACCCAAUCUGAGGCUUGGGGUUUGCGCAGGGCACCAUGAUAGUUUUCCUCUGGGGUCUCAGCUCAGGUGCUAGAAGGGCACCUCCUCUCUGGAACCCUCUGUGAUUGCACCAGGCAGAGGCAACUGCCCUUCCUCUGGCAACCACCACCCCCAGCACACUUGUCAUGCUUGUGUGACAGUGCCUGUGGGUAGGUCUCCCCUGUUAAUUGGGAACAAGUGGGUAGUGUCAGGCCUCUGAGCCCAAGCUAAGCCAUCAUAUCCCCUGUGACCAGCAUGUAUACAUCCAGAUGGCCUGAAGCAACUGAAGAUCUACAAAAGAAGUGAAAAUAGCCUUAACUGAUGACAUUCCACCAUUGUGAUUUGUUUCUGCCCCACCCUAACUGAUCAAUGUACUUUGUAAUCUCCCCCACCCUUAAGAGGGUUCUUUGUAAUUCUCCCCACCCUUGAGAAUGUACUUUGUGAGAGCCACCCUCUGCCCGAAAAACAUUGCUCCUAACUCCACCGCCUAUCCCAAAACCUAUAAGAACUAAUGAUAAUCCCACCACCCUUUGCUGACUCCUUUUUCGGACUCAGCCCCCCCGCACCCAGGUGAAAUAAACAGCCUUGUUGCUCGCAAAAAGCCUGUUUGGUGGUCUCUUCACACAGACAGGUGAGACAGGUAGAGACCUUACCUUCUUCCCCCGGGGUGC
rnacentral:lncRNA from 1 species